rnacentral:rRNA from 1 species
UGUGAGUGAUGAAGGCUUUCGGGUCGUAAAGCUCUGUCAGACGGGAAGAAUAAGAGCAAAGAAAAUAUUUUUGUUUGAUGACUGUACCGUCAGAGGAAGCACCGGCUAACUCCGUGCCAGCAGCCGCGGUAAUACGGAGGGUGCGAGCGUUAUUCGGAAUUACUGGGCGUAAAGCGCGUGUAGGCUGAAAUGAAGGUCAGAUGUGAAGGCCCUUGGCUUAACUAAGGAAGUGCAUCUGAAACCACAUUUCUUGAGUACGACAGAGGAGAGUGGAAUUCCCAGUGUAGAGGUGAAAUUCAUAGAUAUUGGGAAGAACACCAGUGGCGAAGGCGGCUCUCUGGGUUGAUACUGACGCUGAGACGCGAAAGCGUGGGGAGCAAACAGGAUUAGAUACCCUGGUAGUCCACGCCGUAAACGAUGUGCACUAGGUGUUGGGAGUAAUUAAACUCUUAGUGCCGAAGCUAACGCA